rnacentral:rRNA from 1 species
AGCGGCGGACGGGUGAGUAACACGUGGGCAACCUGCCUGUAAGACCGGAAUAACCCCGGGAAACCGGGGCUAAUGCCGGGUAACACCUUUCUUCACCUGAAGAGAGGUUAAAAGAUGGCUUCUCGCUAUCACUUACAGAUGGGCCCGCGGCGCAUUAGCUAGUUGGUGAGGUAACGGCUCACCAAGGCGACGAUGCGUAGCCGACCUGAGAGGGUGAUCGGCCACACUGGGACUGAGACACGGCCCAGACUCCUACGGGAGGCAGCAGUAGGGAAUCUUCCGCAAUGGACGAAAGUCUGACGGAGCAACGCCGCGUGAACGAUGAAGGUCUUCGGAUCGUAAAGUUCUGUUGUUAGGGAAGAACAAGUACCGUGCGAAUAGAGCGGUACCUUGACGGUACCUAACGAGGAAGCCCCGGCUAACUACGUGCCAGCAGCCGCGGUAAUACGUAGGGGGCAAGCGUUGUCCGGAAUUAUUGGGCGUAAAGCGCGCGCAGGCGGUUUCUUAAGUCUGAUGUGAAAGCCCACGGCUCAACCGUGGAGGGUCAUUGGAAACUGGGGAACUUGAGGACAGAAGAGGAGAGUGGAAUUCCACGUGUAGCGGUGAAAUGCGUAGAUAUGUGGAGGAACACCAGUGGCGAAGGCGACUCUCUGGUCUGUUUCUGACGCUGAGGUGCGAAAGCGUGGGUAGCAAACAGGAUUAGAUACCCUGGUAGUCCACGCCGUAAACGAUGAGUGCUAGGUGUUAGGGGGCUUCCMCCCCUUARUGCUGAAGUUAACGCAUUAAGCMCUCCGCCUGGGGAGUACGGCCSCAAGGSUGAAACUCAAAGGAAUUGACGGGGGCCC